rnacentral:lncRNA from 1 species
AUGAACAAAGCUAGUGGAGGUGAUGGAAUUCCAGUGGAGCUAUUUCAAAUCCUGAAAGAUGAUGCUGUGAAAGUGAUGCACUCAAUAUGCCAGCAAAUUUGGAAAACUCAGCAGUGGCCACAGGACUGGAAAAGGUCAGUUUUCAUUCCAAUCCCAAAGAAAGGCAAUCACAAAGAAUGCUCAAACUACUGCACAAUUGCACUCAUCUCACAUGCUAGUAAAGUAAUGCUCAAAAUUCUCCAAGCCAGGCUUCAGCAGUAUAUGAACUGUGAACUUUCAGAUGUUCAAGCUGGUUUUAGAAAAGGCAGAAGAACCAGAGAUCAAAUUUCCAACAUCCGCUGGAUCAUGAAAAGAGCAAGAGAGUUCCAGAAAAACAUCUAUUUCUGCUUUAUUGACUAUGCCAAAGCCUUUCACUGUGUGGAUCACAAUAAACUGUGGAAGAUUCUUCAAGAGAUGGGAAUGCCACACCACCUGACCUGCUCCUUGAGAAAUCUGUAUGCAGUUCAGGAAGCAACAGUUAGAACCGGACAUGGAACAAUAGACUGGUUCCAAAUAGGAAAAGGAGUACGUCAAGGCUGUAUGUUGUCACCUUGCUUAUUUAACUUAUAUGCAGAGUACAUCAUGAGAAACACUGGACUGGAAGAAACACAAGCUGGAAUCAAGAUUGCCAGAAGAAAUAUCAAUAACCUCAGAUAUACAGAUGACACCACCCUUAUGGCAGAAAGUGGAGAGGAACUAAAAAGCCUCUUGAUGAAAGUGAAAGAGGAGAGUGAAAAAGUUGGCUUAAAGCUCAACAUUCAGAAAACGAAGAUCAUGGCAUCUGGUCCCAUCACUCCAUGGGAAAUAGAUGGGGAAACAGUGGAAACAGUGUCAGACUUUAUUUUGGGGGGCUCCAAAAUCACUGCAGAUGGUGACUGCAGCCAUGAAAUUAAAAGACACUUACUCCUUGGAAGAAAAGUUAUGACCAACAUAGAUAGCAUAUUCAAAAGCAGAGACAUUACUUUGCUGACUAAGGUCCAUCUAGUCAAGUCUAUGGUUUUUCCUGUGGUCAUGUAUGGAUGUGAGAGUUGGACUGUGAAGAAGGCUGAGCACCGAAGGAUUGAUGCGUUUGAACUGUGGCGUUGGAGAAGACUCUUGAGAAUUCCUUGGACGGCAAGGAGAUCCAACCAGUCCAUUCUGAAGGAGAUCAACCCUGGGAUUUCUUUGGAAGGAAUGAUGCUAAAGUUGAAACUCCAGUACUUUGGCCACCUCAUGCGAAGAGUUGACUCAUUGGUAAAGACUUUGAUGUUGGGAGGGAUUGGGGGCAGGAGGAGAAGGGACAACAGAGGAUGA